GGCGGCGUAGCUCAGGUGGCUAGAGCACGCGGCUCAUACCCGCGGGGUCGGAGGUUCGACUCCUCCCGCCGCCACCA
rnacentral:tRNA from 1 species